UAAGCGUACGAUCCUUCUGUCAGCUCUUUCUCUUCUUUUCGGCUUUAUCCUGUGGGAAGUAGCUUUACAUUCUGAUUCAGACUACAAGGGAUUCUGCGAAAGCUGAAUUUCUGCACUGGCCGUGCUUAUUCUGCAGCGUGUGUCACACUCCCUGCGGUGAGGGCUAAGUUCUCCCUAUUUUGUGCAGCCUCUGUCUAAUGCAGACAAAAUUCCUCCUUCCCACAAGGAUUCCAGGAGAAAGCAAAGGCAGAGAGCAAGGGCAAGUGGAGACAAGCAAUGCAGUUUACCUUGGACUCCCUGUUUUGAAACACUUACCAAGCUCACUGAAGUAAUAGUUGUGAUUUGGCUGAAUAACAAAAUCCAUAUCCUGCCCAGUUCUCAAAAGUGCAGUAAACAGUGCAGAAUUCUUCUUUUCCUUUUGCCUUAAUAAUGUCACUGCUUAGUUCUUGGUUACAGGUAUUCAUGAUGAUACGGUGGGGCAGAAAUACACAGGAGUCCAGAGUGUUUUGAAGUGGCUCUAGGAGUCACUGAAAUAAUGACCUAUAUUGGUAUAGGAAACUUUUUUCCUGACCAUUUUUAUCCUCAGAGUGCUUUACAGACCUGAGAGCUGCAUCUCUUUGAACUGUGGCAAUGCAGAGCAGAAAGCAGCUUCUCCAGCUGAGGCUGCAGGGAACACUCUGCUAUGUGAGGACUGGAAGGAUAAGCAGAGCUUCUCACCCAUAUCUGGAUAAAGGAUUGCAUGUUAACGUGCUUUCCCUUUCUUCCCCUCCCUUCCAGUCCCCUCCCAAAUGGAUAUGGCAGUGAAAGAAGGAUGAAGACAGCAGAUAGGAAAAACAGAAAACGAAAAGAAAAAGGAGACUUUCUUCUUCACAUGUAAAUUUUCUGGAGUUUAAAGACACAUGACUUUGAUGUUACUGAAGAUUGUGUCAUAAUCAUCAAAUGGAGCUGGUGCCAAAUAAACCAGAUGGAGCUUUCAAUCAACAAACUGCAUUUAUUAUUGAUAUCUGUGGCUUAUUUGUUUUACAUGCACCUUCUAACAGGAUCAGGUAAGAAAAAAUAUCUGCUCCCAGAGAAAAAAGAGAGCUAUUAGAAGCCUCACCUUAUUAUUUGACCUGACAGCACAAAUAGAUGAUGGGAAAAAGUCAAAGUACAAGACACAACUCCAAGUGGAAGGAAUUUGUUUGAUGCUUUCUGCUGGAGCAGAAGGUGGCAUGAAUUAUUAUUUCAUCCUCACAUACUAUGAAAAAUUUCAGAGUAAUUUUAUUUAUCUGUGCACAUAUUACUCCUUAAUUAUUGUCGAUUACAUUGCUCUACUAGCACAUUUCCUUUUUUGUCUCUUUGCAAGAACAUAUAUAAUUUUAUUGAAUAUAUAGCUUUACUUGUGUCUAUAUCAUAUUACGUUUAUAUACGCCUUUGUAUAUAUUGUAUUACAUUUUGCCUGUAGUAUGAAAGAGACUAAAACUAAGGAUUUUGAUGGGUAACCAAUACAUGUCACUUUUUUGUAUGAGGCAUGGCAUAAAAAAACCCUAUAGCUUUGACUCACUUUGGCCUUCUAGAGACAUGAAGAGACAUAAAGAAUACGUAUCUAAAGAAAGAAUAAACUGUUUUUUAAUUGCUUUUAUUUGGAUUUUUUUUCCAAAUGCCUCUUUUUUGUUUCCUUUUUUUUUUUUUAGUGAUAGUCCCUGUCUUUUCUGCUAAGUAAAGAUGGAUAAUCCAAAAUAAUACGCCCCAUGUUUCUUUUAGCAUUUGAAUGUAUGAAAAAACAUGUUGCUUCUCUGAAAGUUGUUCAGUCUUGCAUGUAAUUUCCUCUUAUCUUCUCUUUAUUCACAUGUGUUCUCCUAAGAGAAGAAAAAUAUCUGUUUGUGGUCUAGGAUGUAUUUUUGUUUUUGAGACAGAUAAAAAUUAUGUAUGCCAAAUGUUUUCAUGUUUAUAGAGAACAAACAAUCUUACACAUUCCUUCCCUGUGCCUGUACAACUCCCUUUCAAUCAGCUCUCUGCACUCCUAUAACUUUGGAGGCUUUCUGCCCCACUUGCUUGAGGCUGCAGGCAUAGAUUGGAGCCACUUCCUUUGCCCUUCUGAAUAUAAAGAAAUUAGAACACAGAAACAAGGAUAUUUCCAUUUAAUUUUAAUAUUUUGAUUUCCUAGACAAAACUUCUGAAAAAAAAUCUGAAUUUUGCCUUACUGUGUGGAAUGGUAGUAGAAUUUCAUGGUAAUGAGUGGAAUGAAUUGUAAUGGGUGGUUUUCAUACUUGAUGCAGUAAAUAGAUUUAAUAUAUCAGUGCAAUUCAUAUGAUAUGUGAUUUUCCAAUGAAAUUUCUAACAAAUGAAAGACUGAGUUUAAGACUGACAUAUGAGGACUGUUCCAUAGAAUUCAGAUUCUGCAUGAGAAGUUAGUAUCUGAGUAUGGGGGAGUCACCUCUGUGGAUUGAUCUGGUGGGCCCAGUCCAGUGCCACUCACCUCUCCACACCCAGCACUGUAAUCACCAAGUCUCUAUACAGAGCAGAAGAGUUAAGCAAUCAGGAUGACUUAACUAUCAACUUGACCUUUAAGAUCCCUUCAGAGCAGGUUUGAUCCACACUGAUUUACUUUAUCCUUCAAACCAUCAGAUCUGUAUUAAAACCCUGAUUGACCAGAAGUAAUUAUUUGGUGCCUUAUAUUAGCAAUGUCCCAAGGCCCAAGAUGAAAACUGGGGAUGAAAGUCACACCUUACUGAAGUCAAAGGGAGGAUUACUUUCAGUGGAACUGGGAUUUCACCCAGAAAACCAUACCAACAGUGUUUGGGUCCUAUUUAUGUCUGAAGGAACAUGAAUCUUUCUAUGGUGCCCAUUAUAUUAUGUAAAAGGUAUCUCACAAGCUACUCUGAUAUAUUCAUUUAAAACCAGGAGAUUUCAUUAAAAAAAAAAAAGUAAAGUGAUGGCAUAAAUGAUGUACUGGUUUACUACAAAAUGCUGUGCCACCUGAUAGGAGAAAUAUAUUCUGUCAUUCCUUUAA